rnacentral:rRNA from 1 species
AGCGAACGCUGGCGGCAGGCCUAACACAUGCAAGUCGAGCGGCCGUAGCAAUACGGCAGCGGCAGACGGGAGAGUAACACGUGGGAACGCGCCCUUCGGUUCGGGAUAACUCAGGGAAACUUGGGCUAAUACCGGAUACGCCCUUACGGGGAAAGAUCUAUUGCCGAAGGAACGGCCCGCGUCCGAUUAGCUUAUUGGUGAGGUAACGGCUCACCAAGGCGACGAUCGGUAGCUGGUCUGAGAGGAUGACCAGCCUCACUGGGACUGAGACACGGCCCAGACUCCUACGGGAGGCAGCAGUGGGGAAUAUUGGACAAUGGGCGCAAGCCUGAUCCAGCCAUGCCGCGUGGGUGAUGAAGGCCCUAGGGUUGUAAAGCCCUUUCAGCGGGGAAGAUAAUGACGGUACCCGCAGAAGAAGCCCCGGCUAACUUCGUGCCAGCCGCCGCAGUAAGAC